rnacentral:snRNA from 1 species
GGAUGUAUGAUCUGGCUGUGACAUAUGUCACCCGAUUGAUUGCUACCAUUAAUGUAUCUGAUCAGGCUGGCUAGGCAGGUGUCCCUGUCUUCUCUCACUGCUCCAUGUGUGUCCUUCCCAAAGCUGUGGACUGGGUUAAGAGGACAACUAUCCCUGAUAGAGGACCAUUUCCUUGGUCAAGGGUAUGUGAGUAGCUUUGCUUCUCUGCUUGAACCUCCAAACAAGCUGCCAAAAUUGCCCAGAAAGUCCCCAAAUUUGGAGUCUUGCCUCUGUCUAUUGAAAAACUGACAUUUAAACCUUCUAGGUUCACCUUUGGUAAUUCGUAUGUAUCUAGGA